AAACCAUCAAAGGUAGCC
rnacentral:snRNA from 1 species